rnacentral:rRNA from 1 species
UACGGAGGGGGCUAGCGUUGUUCGGAAUUACUGGGCGUAAAGCGCACGUAGGCGGCUUUUUAAGUCAGAGGUGAAAGCCCGGGGCUCAACUCCGGAACUGCCUUUGAGACUGGAUCGCUUGAACGUCGGAGAGGUGAGUGGAAUUCCGAGUGUAGAGGUGAAAUUCGUAGAUAUUCGCAAGAACACCAGUGGCGAAGGCGGCUCACUGGCCCGGUACCUGGACGCUGAGGUGCGAAAGCGUGGGG